GCAGCAGCGGCGUCACCGUGAGGAGGAGGUGGAGGGAGGAGGAGGAGGCCUGCGGCUCGCUCACGGCCCUGACGAGGAGGUGGUGGAGGAGGAGGAGGUGGAGGAGGAGGAGGAGGUGCGCUAGAGAGACGCCGUGUGGACGUGAGAAGGAGGAGCGGUUACCAUCGCGGGUCGUGAACCAACUUCCUCCGGUGCACAGGAGAUCGACGAUAUCCCUCGAGAGAGCGAGACAAAGAAGUUAAGCAGGAUAUUAUAUCAUCAUCAUCAGGAGAUUAAAUAUAAUCAGGAGAUAACAGCCAGAUAGUGGGAAGGUGGUGGUGGGGGGGGGGAGAUCCCAUCUCGUAACUUGAGGCAGGAGAGAUUUAAAGAAAGAUAAGGACUAUACUUUGGGAGAUUAUAGAGAGUGGGUACAUUUUUUAAAUAAAGUUAGGGGACAUAGGGGGAGAUAACCGCAGAGUAAUAUUUAGAUGUAUAGAAAUAUGGUUUGAUGUUCUACCACGGGAGGAGAUGAUAGGUAGCUAGCUAGCUAAGAAGAUUCAUAUCUAUUGAAGAGUAAGAUUAUAUAUAUAGAGAGCUAAAUAGUGGGCGGAGAAGAUAGAUUAUAGAGAGCAGAAGAUAUUUGGAUGAGCGAGUGUGAGAGUUGACGCAGAUUUAUUAUUGGUAGGACAUUCAGGUGGAAGGUUGGGCAUUCAGGUAGAGGGUAAGACGCGUAUAGGUUAGAUGAGAUAGGUCUAUUGCAACAGGCAAAGAUAUAGGUUAAAGAUAACCUAUUGGAACAUAAGAUCUAUAGGAUACAAUAUAACCUAUUCGAAGAGGAGAUAGACAAUAUAAGAUAACCUAUUGGAACAGGAGGAUUUAUAUAAGACGUAAUAUAACAUAGCUGUUUUGGAACAUAAAUAUAUAGGAUAAAAGACAACCUAUUGGAACAAUAUAUAAGGUAUAAGAUAGGUCUAUUGUAACGGAAGGUAGGAUAUAAGAUAGGAACAGUGGAACAAGAUAUCUUGAGGUGGAGAGAUAUCGAGCUGAGAAGAUACCAAGCCAGGAGGAGGAUCUGUGGAAGACUCAGAAGGAAGACUGAAACACCGCAGAGGCUGGAGAGAUAUCUUCCCGGGACAUCUCCUGAGCGGAAGUUUACCGACAACAUAAACAUCAACAACACCACCACCACCAUCUCCACAUCACCUUAAACAUCAUCAUCAUCAUAACCACCACACCACCAUCACCCGGACCUCCACAUCAUCAUCUGCACAUCACCACUACACCACUAACACCACCAUCAUCAUCACCAACACUACCACACCACCACCUUCGACGAACACCAUCUUCACCACCACCACCACGUAAUCACCACCAUCACUGCCACCGCUGUCGUGAACAACAGCAGCGGGAUCUGUACAUCGCCCAUCUCUGGACAUAAACUCUGCGUGCCGCCACUGGAGAUCGACACCAGAGGUUGUAGAGGUGGAGGAGGAGGUGGUGGAGGCAGUGGAGGAAGUCCAUCUCGUCACCCCCCACAGCACUGUGCUGAGCUGAAUCGGGAGCAAGUGGCUGGACAUUGAUGAGAACGAGGAGUGUCCCAGUUGAACCCCGCACCCGGCACAAGCUCCGUUCCCCCUCGCUCCCCGUCCGCCCGCGUUUGCCCCCGACUCCCCCUGGAGGUUCGCCGGCCCGCCAAGCGAAUGUCACCGCGGGGAGACUAAGAAGAGGAUCCGGAGGAGGAGGAGGAGGCCGCCGACGACGACGAGGAGGAGGUGGGGGCGGCAGUGGCGGCGGCGGGCUGUCUAUGAAGAGGUCACGGAAGCCGGUGCCGCGGUGAGGAUGCCGAUCCCGCGUGAGGCGUCGAUGCCUCGCGGCCCUCGCGGUCGUGCCGAGGAGUAGGCCGGGCCGGGACGCCCCAUCGGAGAGACGCAGCAGCAAGAUCCUCGGUUGCACGCUCUCGGGGAGGUUACGGAGAUACGCAGAGACACUGUGGGGGAUACUCGUCGGGCACAGGCUGUUGAGGGACACGGAGAUUUGCAGAGACUCGCCGAGACACGCGGAGACGAAACGCACGGCCGCUCGCUCGCCCAUGAGUCGUCCGCUGCGAGGCGCCAGCCGGUGAAGGCCCCACCCCCCCACCCCCCCCCA